rnacentral:rRNA from 1 species
GAUGAACGCUGGCGGCGUGCCUAAUACAUGCAAGUCGAGCGAACGGACGAGAAGCUUGCUUCUCUGAUGUUAGCGGCGGACGGGUGAGUAACACGUGGAUAACCUACCUAUAAGGCUGGGAUAACUUCGGGAAACCGGAGCUAAUACCGGAUAAUAUUUUGAACCGCAUGGUUCAAAAGUGAAAGACGGUCUUGCUGUCACUUAUAGAUGGAUCCGCGCUGCAUUAGCUAGUUGGUAAGGUAACGGCUUACCAAGGCAACGAUGCAUAGCCGACCUGAGAGGGUGAUCGGCCACACUGGAACUGAGACACGGUCCAGACUCCUACGGGAGGCAGCAGUAGGGAAUCUUCCGCAAUGGGCGAAAGCCUGACGGAGCAACGCCGCGUGAGUGAUGAAGGUCUUCGGAUCGUAAAACUCUGUUAUUAGGGAAGAACAUAUGUGUAAGUAACUAUGCACAUCUUGACGGUACCUAAUCAGAAAGCCACGGCUAACUACGUG